rnacentral:rRNA from 1 species
GAUGAACGCUGGCGGCGUGCCUAACACAUGCAAGUCGAACGGAAAGGCCGAAGCUUGCUUCGGUACUCGAGUGGCGAACGGGUGAGUAACACGUGGGGGAUCUGCCCUGUACUUCGGGAUAAGCUUGGGAAACUGGGUCUAAUACCGGAUAUGACAAUCUCUUGGAUGGGGUUGUGGAAAGCUUGUGCGGUAUGGGAUGAGCUCGCGGGCUAUCAGCUUGGUGGUGGGGUAUUGGCCUACCAACGCGUCGACGGGUAGCCGGCCCGGGAGGGUGUACGGCGACCAUGGGCCUGCGAGAAGGACCAGAAGGGUACCGGCGGCAGUAGGGGGGAAUAUUGCGGAACGGCGCCAAGUCAGAUGUAGAGGUCCCCGGUUCGGAAUGCCGGCCUUCGGGUUGUAAACAACUUUCGCAACAGACGAAGAUUUUGUGACGGUAGGUUGAGAAGAAGCACCGGCUAACUACGUG